CCUCAGAACAGAGAAGGGCUACUUGGGGAAGGAAAAAAAAAGCACAGGCGGAAGCUUGCAAAAGAGCAAGCACGCACUUCUCCCACGUGGUCCGCGGGGCAGGGAGCCUAGCAGAGCGGAAGCGUGAAACUGGCAGAGCUCAGGGAGAGGGUCUCACCAGCUGCAGGCCUCCCUCACCUGGCACAGGUACUAGCCUCAGCCAGGCGCAUCUCCCCGGAAGGGAGUGGCGCCUGGGAAGGGUUGGGGGCCGGGCGCAGCCCCCAGACUGCCGUCUCUAAAGGGCCAGCCCACGCCCUGCCUGGUGCGGCUGCAGCUGUGCGACUUUGCAAGCGUUCCCUGUCCCCUCGCUCCCCGCCCCGGCGGGAACCGGCCCGGGAUGCGGUGCUCCAGACCCUCCCCGCCGCGACGAGGGCGCACAGGCAGGGCGCACGGCCCGGAGGCGCGAUCCCCCGGGGCAGGAACGAGAGAGCACAGGGCAGAGCGGACCGAAGCCGCCGGCAACGCUAAUCUCACCUUCACGGCCGUGGAGUUGGCCACCUGAGGCCAUGUCUGCGCUAGGAGGGCGCGGUGGCCUCGUCAGGCGCAAGGAGCAGGCUGCGGUGGCGGGUGCGCGUGGGGCCGAGAAGCACAGGGGGGCCAAGGGCGCAGCGCCGGACACAGCCAAGCAGAGUCCCCGGACGGCGCUGGCUCCUCCUCUUCCUUCCGGGGACAGCUGGAUUGGCUGCUUGUGUGGCAUCGCCCCCGCCACCCCCGUCCUCAAUUUUGCGUUCCGAGUUCCAGGUUCCCAAGUCCUGCUGCUUGGGCAGAUCUUUCCGGUUCUCCGUUGUCUGUUUCUUCCCACCCCCGGUUAUAACUAACGGGUCAAUGAUGAUAAUAACGGAGACGGUUUCUUGAGCACUUGUGUUGUCCCAGACUGUGUGCUUUGCUCUUUAAUCAGCCCUGUUAACUUUCACGAGAACCCUACAGCAUUAGCUGGGUCCAAGGUAUUGUCUGUAAAAUCAGGCACAUCUGCCUUCCAGAAGAGUUCACGGAAGGGAGAAUCCUCCAGAAGAAGGAACUGGCGGUUCCCGAAGCUUCCCUCCAGCUGCUAACCCGGGGCGGGACGCGGUUUGCUCUUCCUACCACAGUAAUUCGACCGGGGAUUUGCUCCUUUGCCUGAAUUCCUGGAGGACAGAGCAGGAAUGGGGUUGACCGUAGGCUCAGGGAUGACAAAAAGGAAAUAGAGUAACAUGUUGCUGGAUAAACUGUUUGAUUUACCAACUAUGGCUUACUCAUCUUCAAUUUGGGAGGAGGUUUUUAAAGGGCAUGAGACGCUGCCUCCCUCCCACCCCCGCUAUCUUGAACCCCUCCCACCUCGGACAACGGCCCAGACACCUAGGUUCAGAAUCCAGAGUCACAUUUUCAUCAUUCAACACUGGCUGGUCACCACCAUCCCGCCCCCGCCCCCUGCCCCAAACGCACGCGCGCGCGCACACACACACACACACACGCAGACACACACCCCAACACCACCACCAGCCCUCCACUGGGAUAAUCCCUUACUCUCAAAAUGCCCAUCCUUUCCCUACUGGGAUAAUCCAAUUUACCCUCCUUUGAUGGAUUAAGCUCUCCUAAACAGAAUGGGUGAGAGUGAUGUUCUGAGAUGCAGAAAUGUUGCGGAUUACUCUGGGGGUGGGAGCAUGGCUGUGGAAGUGAAAUGAGAAGGAAAAAGUUAAAAAAUCUUCCCCAGAGCACAAACUUUGAGAUGAGCUUUGCUAGCGGCGUCUGGGCAUAUUCAGCGUAAUCGCUGUUGUUUAAAACUAACCAGGUUUUCUGUCCCUCCUUACUAUGUGAGUGAGCUGUCUUUCCCAGGAAGUCAAGGUCCAAACAUCAAGAUCCAGCCUCACUAGGCCAAAUGCAGGCUGAAGACGAAAACUAAAGAGAAAAGUCCAGACAGUCAAGGGAAAAGAAAUUCAGUCUUCAAGGCUGCACGCAGGCUGGUUGGAAGACGCCAACCAGCAAGCCCUUCAGGGACGUGGUUUUCUAGGAGCUUGUCUGCUGAUCGCUGUGUUGGGGAGCAGGAGACCCGUUACUCACAGGGGAACCACUGCAGGACACAGGACAAGCAAACUACAAGAUGAAGCCUAAACCCCACACCCCUCCCUUGGUGAAGGGAGAAUGUUCAGCCUUGCUCUAAGGAGACACGGGCCUCGCUUUCUGUCCUCCGUAUAGAAAAGGACCAAGAAGUUAGAGAUGCUCAGAUGUAUUUUAACUUUACAGUUGAAACAUAAUCUGCUCUGCUCAGUACGUCAGGACUGAGCUGUGAUGGUGUCAUGGACGGAAUGUUUGUGUCCCUCCCACAUUUGUGUGUUGAAACUCUAACCCGCAGCGUCAUGGUAUUAGGAGGUGGGGCCCUUGGGAGGCGAUCAGGUCGUGAAGGUGGAGCCCUCAUAGAUAGGAUUCGUGCUUUUACGAAAGAGACCCCAGAGAGCUCCCUCACCCCUUCUGCCACGUGAAGACACAGCGAGAGGAGCGCUGUCUGUGACCCAGGCAGCAGGGCUUCACCAGACGCUGCGUCUGCCAGCACCUUGAUCUUGGACUCCAGCCUCCAGAACUGUGAGAAAUAAAGGCUUGCUGUUAAGCCACCUGGCCCGUGGUGUUUUCUUAUAGCAGCUGCAACUGACUAAGACGUUGAGAGACUCGCAAGACAGGCCCUUGAGUGGCCUCUGCUCCUCAUUCUACUGUUAGAACUUAAGGCACACAUGUGGGCAGCAGAGAAAAAUUAAAAUAGAAGAAAUAAUGUAAGAGCAUUUCUUUCUUUCCUUGCUAAAUCCAUGUGUUGUCUGGAAAUAAAGACUUAAAAAUAAAUGGGAAUGGGGUCAUGGUUGUCUUCUGAGCAUCUUCAAGAGCAACAUUAAAAAUAGCUAAUAUUUACUGAGAACCAUAUACUCUUCGUUUAACCCUUACAGCCACCUUUCCACCCGGGUGCCGCUCUAAUCCCCGUUUUUCUGAUGAGCAGACCAAGAGAAGUUGAGUCCUUCUCACCUCUCUUUUGUGCUUAUUGCUUCUUUCAAAAGCUUCCUUGUCUGUUUGGGGCCUUGUGGUCUUUCCUCUCUCCUCCCCACCAAAAAAAAUCAAUCAAACCUUUCAUUCCUGCAAGUUGUAAAUGUCCAAUAUCAGCUUAAAAUGUUACCUCUCCCAGGGGUCCGUGAACUUCACAGAGAUGCAACAAACUAAGAUAAUAAAACUCAAGGUGGAAUGUGAUGCUUGAGAAGCGCACAGUAGGUGAUAUUAUCACUAUUAUUGCAUGAGACUCAGCACAUUUGAAGUCUUCUCAAACUUAUGUAACUCGGGUAAUCGGGAUUCAGUCCUAAAUCUGUCUUAACUACAGAGUCGGAUCUCUUAAUUACUAUCUGUUCUUCCCACGGUGUGCUGGGCCUCAAGCUAAGUGCCGAAGAGAGAAAGAUGUAUGGCCUAUACACUCUGAGCCUGCAUGGAACUCCCAGAGCCAGAAAAAAAUGUGAAAAAAAUACCAAAGCCAAUGAGAUGAUAUGAAAAUGACGUCAGAGCUGUGGCUGGUCAGAAGCAUUAAAAGGAAUCCAGGAUGUUGGUGGUGGAGAAUUCAAUCUACUCAAAUCAGGCAACAAAAGGAAGCAAGGAAGAAUUCAGUAAGAACUCAGUUGGUAUAAAUCACAAAAUCCCUAUGAAGGAUAUAAGCCUGAAGUCCCUGGGUGAUGCAGCAAUUGUAAAGGGACCUCGCAGGUCUACCGCCAGCACAGAUGGACUCACUCAGGAAGCAGGGGAUUCUCCGGUCCUGGGACCUGGUCUGAAAUCUCUGACCUAUAUGGUCAUAUUGUGGUCACGGACACUGACCCAGGAAGCUCUGCUAACCCCAGUUGUAAACUGCUCCCCGUGCUGGGAUAAGUAUGGGGUGGUAUGGGGUGGUCUGGUGUGCGUAGACGAUCCUGAGAUCCCUGAUAGAAAUCAACUAACGCAUUUGAAUUAUUGUUAGUGUUCCCACUUUCCAUCUCAAAAGUGUCCCAGUUUAUGGGGCCAGCCAGGUGGUGCAGCGGUUAAGUUCUCACGUUCCGAUCCGGCGACCCAGGGUUU